CCUACGGGGCGCACCAGUGGGGAAUAUUGCACAAUAGGCACAAGCCUGAUGCAGCCAUGCCGCGUGUAUGAAGAAGGCCUUCGGGUUGUAAAGUACUUUCAGCGGGGAGGAAGGCGAUAAGGUUAAUAACCUUGUCGAUUGACGUUACCCGCAGAAGAAGCACCGGCUAACUCCGUGCCAGCAGCCGCGGUAAUACGGAGGGUGCAAGCGUUAAUCGGAAUUACUGGGCGUAAAGCGCACGCAGGCGGUCUGUCAAGUCGGAUGUGAAAUCCCCGGGUUCAAUCUGGGAACUGCAUUCGAAACUGGCAGGCUAGAGUCUUGUAGAGGGGGGUAGAAUUCCAGGUGUAGCGGUGAAAUGCGUAGAGAUCUGGAGGAAUACCGGUGGCGAAGGCGGCCCCCUGGACAAAGACUGACGCUCAGGUGCAAAAGCGUGGGGAGCAAACAGGAUUAGAUACCCUUGUAGUC
rnacentral:rRNA from 1 species